GACAGAGGGUGCAAACGUUGUUCGGAAUUACUGGGCGUAAAGCGUGUGUAGGCGGUCUUAUAAGUCGGAUGUGAAAGCCCCGGGCUCAACCCGGGAAGUGCACUCGAUACUGUAGGACUUGAGUACUGGAGAGGUUGGUGGAAUUCUCGGUGUAGAGGUGAAAUUCGUAGAUAUCGAGAGGAACACCGGUGGCGAAGGCGGCCAACUGGACAGAUACUGACGCUGAGACACGAAAGCGUGGGGAGCAAACAGG
rnacentral:rRNA from 1 species